GCACUAUGAAAAAGAAGUCGGAUGCUUCCUAAUCUUAUAUAUUAUAUAGGAUAGGACCCGUUUUCCACUUAAGGCGUCAAUGCGUCUAAGACUUUAAUUAGAAUCUGAUUUUCGGCAUCAAAGAGCGCGUGGGGCUGGUGAGGGAAGGAUUGAAGGCUAGAUUUGACGGUAUGCCAGUUGAUUGAUUCAACUCAACUUUCAAGAUUGGGUGAGUGUACUUUAGUAAUAGUAUGAAGGAUCUAGUGGGCGUACUGUUUUACCUGUCCACUCAAGGAGUUGCAAUCAAAUGGUUUUUGAAAAUGGAAAUCGUGGUCAACAUUUUUCCAGUGCUUCAGCGGGGUUUUACCUUUAUUUGGUAUGCUGAAAAUCAUGUCGUACAGCCGCUGCGAAGCAGAAAUUUUAUUAGAUAAGAUAAAAGUUUUCUCGUUAUUCGUGGUGGGGUCGCGGACGAAUUGGGUUCGAUUCCCAUAGCCCCAAUGUGGUUCAAAGAGAGAUUUAAAGAGAUGUGCCAGAGUGGGCGUACUAUUUUACCUGUCCACUCAAGGAGUCGC
rnacentral:lncRNA from 1 species